UCGGGUAUGGUCUAAAGGCUACCAUUGCCGCCUCCUCUCAUCGAAUACGGCAGCUCGGGGUUCAAUUCCCUGUAUCCGAA